GAGUUUGAUUCUGGCUCAGCGCGAACGUUGGCGGCGUGCCUAACACAUGCAAGUCGUGGGGCAGCAGGCUACUGUCUUUUGGCAGUAGUGCUGGCGACCGGCAAACGGGCGAGUAACACGUAGCUUACCUACCCAUAGGUUGGGGAUAACAUCCCGAAAGGGGUGCUAAUACCCAAUAAUGAGGAGACUCCAAAGCCCUUAUGGGUGCCUAUGGAUGGGGCUGCGUCCCAUCAGCUUGUUGGUGAGGUAAUGGCUCACCAAGGCUACGACGGGUAACCGGUCUGAGAGGAUAACCGGUCACAGUGGGACUGAGAUACGGCCCGCACCCCUACGGGGGGCAGCAGUGGGGAAUAUUGGGCAAUGGCUGAAAGGCUGACCCAGCAACGCCGCGUGGUGGAUGAAGCCCUUCGGGGUGUAAACACCUUUUCUGGGGGAAGAUAAUGACGGUACCCCAGAAUAAGGGACGGUUUACUACGUGCCAGCAGCCGCGGUAAUACGUAGGUCCCAAACGUUGCGCGAAUUUACUGGGCGUAAAGGGUCCGUAGGCGGUUUAACAAAGUGGGUUGGUGAAAUUUCACGGCUCAACCGUGAAACUGCCUUCCAAACUGCUAAACUUGAGGCAGGGAGAGGUCGGCGGAAUUCCGGUGUAGCGGUGAAAUGCGUUGAAUUU
rnacentral:rRNA from 1 species